rnacentral:rRNA from 1 species
UACGUAGGGUGCAAGCGUUGUCCGGAAUUAUUGGGCGUAAAGAGCUCGUAGGCGGUUAUUCAAGUCAGAGGUGAAAGCCCGGAGCUCAACUCCGGAAUAGCCUUUGAAACUAGGUAGCUUGAACGUCGGAGAGGUGAGUGGAAUUCCGAGUGUAGAGGUGAAAUUCGUAGAUAUUCGGAAGAACACCAGUGGCGAAGGCGGCUCACUGGACGACUGUUGACGCUGAGGUACGAAAGCGUGGGGAGCAAACAGG